UACGAAGGGGCUAGCGUUGCUCGGAAUCACUGGGCGUAAAGGGUGCGUAGGCGGGUCUUUAAGUCAGGGUGAAAUCCUGGAGCUCAACUCCAGAACUGCCUUUGAUACUGAGGAUCUUGAGUUCGGGAGAGGUGAGUGGAACUGCGAGUGUAGAGGUGAAAUUCGUAGAUAUUCGCAAGAACACCAGUGGCGAAGGCGGCUCACUGGCCCGAGUACUGACGCUGAGGCACGAAAGCGUGGG
rnacentral:rRNA from 1 species